AUGCACAACCUUUCAUUAUGCAGUUUAGAUGUUCAUACGAGGAUGUUUUUACAUAUUAGUGUUGAAAUGCUAAAUCCAGUAUUAUGUUUCAUUUGUAUACUUCACACCAAAGCUCAUAAGUAUUCUGUCGAUCUUUUGAACAUUCUUAGUAACCGUCUUCUUUCUUAUGGAUUUGCGACGGAUUUUGUAAAAUCUCAUGAAGCUGAGUUGUGUAUUAUAAUUCAAAUCUCCAUUGAUAAUUAUACCUUCCAUUUUUUCACCAAUAUUUAUACUGUCUCGAUACCCUUUCAUCAAGAUGGCGGGCGCGGCAAAGCGCGCCUUGACGUUCUAGUGUAA
rnacentral:rRNA from 1 species